UGCAUGCACUGACUCAACUUGUGUUGGCACCUUCGGCGACACUUCCUCUGCAACACCCAGUCAAGUGCCGUCAUCGAUUUGUCUGCACCUUUUGUUCCUUUACGAAAAUCGAUAACUCUGCUUUCAUACUUGUAUGUGCUGAUUUUGUCAAACCCACUUUGAUUAAUCUCUCUUUACUAUUACUUUUUUGUGCUUAAUUUCUUUUCUUAGAACUAAAUAUAAUUUUGGUACGGAUUUUUAGUGUUGCACUCUAAAUCUUAAAGGAUUUGAAGUUGCGAAAUAAAAAAACCUUGUUGCACUUGAAUGAUUGUUUAAGGGCUUCUUGUGCUUAUUUUCCCCUAAUAUUUUCAGGUUUCUAUCAUAAUUUUUUGUCAUAUUACGAAAGAAAUUAGUUUGCGUUCAAUAUCUUGUACGCCUUAUAAACUAACCCAUGUCCUAAUAUUGAAGUGUGUUCAAUUUUUGACAGUUUAUGCAGGGGCGAGAUAAGUAGAUAUGACUAUCAAUGACAGAGGUGAAAGACUUGAAAAUUCCUCUCUAGAGGGAGAUAGGUGAGAGUUUGAUUUUGUACAAAAGAAACUUCAAUUCGCUUGUGUGUAUUAUUGGAUGGUUGUAGAUUUAAGGGAGAUGGGAUGGGGUGGUAAGAAUUUUUUAAAAAAGUAAUCUAACAUAGGAUGUGCAUUUGUGGCUUCCGCAAUAGCCAAAAAAUAUCUCUAUAAUGUUCUUUUCAUAAUCUCAUGAGACUUCUUUAGCUUAACUAAACAUCACAUCUGCUAUUAAAAGCUACAUGGCAUAUGCGAUCUUGAUUGCUUUCCUUUUGAUGAAGUCGAUGCUCCUUCCAACUUUCCUCUUGAUUGAAUUUGUGUGCAUUAUUACUGAGAAUUCUUUGGUUUCAGCGCAAAGCUU
rnacentral:lncRNA from 1 species